AAUUUGGAAUUUCCGUCCAGAGCAGUGCGUACUGGAUCUGGGUCUUUAUAGUUACUCUUUUUAGGUUUCCAAUUUGUAUUAUUUGAUUUUGAUUGCAUUUUAGGGCCCCGGUUUCCCCUCAAUCCUAGUCGGAAAAUCACUCUCUCUUGGUUCUCGUUCUCUGAAUAGGACUGAACAAGGGAGUGAUUUACGGCUGAUCCAAUAAGAAAUGGCAGAAGAACCAAUUGGCAAGAAGAACAAGAACAAGAGGAAGAUGAUCAUUGACACAGACCCUGGCAUUGAUGAUGCGAUGGCAAUCUUCGUGGCAUUGCAAUCACCAGAAGUGGAAGUCAUUGGACUCACUACCAUUUAUGGCAAUGUCUACACCACCCUUGCCACUCGUAAUGCUUUGCAUCUGUUGGAGGUUGCAGGAAGAUCUGAUAUCCCUGUGGUGGAAGGAUCUCAUGUCACAAUCACUAAAGGUACAAAGCUCCGUAUAGCAGAUUUUGUACAUGGUGCUGAUGGACUGGGCAACCAAAACUUCCCCCCACCACAAGGAAAGCCAGUUGAUCAGUCAGCAGCUGCUUUUCUUGUUGAACAAGUUAAUCUUUAUCCUGGAGAAAUCACUGUGGUGGCACUUGGCCCUCUUACAAAUAUUGCACUGGCUACUCAAUUAGAUCCUGCUUUUAGCAAAAAUGUUGGGCAGAUUGUUAUUUUGGGGGGUGCAUUUGCUGUGAAUGGAAACGUGAAUCCAGCAGCAGAGGCCAAUAUUUUUGGUGACCCAGAUGCAGCAGAUAUUGUGUUUACAAGUGGAGCAGAUGUUUUAGCUGUUGGACUUAAUGUUACCCAUCAGGUUGUUAUGACAGAUGCUGACCGUGAUAAGCUGGCACAAUCUGAUGGAAAAUUUGCCCAGUACCUAUGCAAGAUCUUAGAUGUGUACUUUUCGUAUCAUCAUGAUGCUUACGGCACAAAAGGUGUUUAUCUUCAUGAUCCAACAGCCCUUCUUGCAGCUGUCAAUCCUUCACUGAUCACUUACCUAGAAGGCGUUGUCAGGGUCCAGACGACUGGCAUCACAAGGGGCCUCACACUAUUUUACAACAAACAGAAAAGGUGCCGAAAUGCUUUGGUCUAUUGUUGCAUAGAUAAUGUUGGAUUCUCUGGAUUGUAAGUGUUCGUUAUUGAAGAAAGAAAGGGAAAACAUGAAAAUGCUGGGUAGAUUUUUGAGUGUACUUCUUGAAAUCAUCAUUAUGGUUUCAAGUUGAAAGGAGGUCUCUUUUAGCCUGAACUCCUUUUUUGCUGAGUGCAAGAAGAUCCAGAGGGAUGUAAAAGGGAUGCAGUUGGGAAACUGCAUAUAUGUGUACAGGUUUGGGGAGGUUACUGAGUGGACAGAUAAGCCCUCAGUCAAGGUGGCUGUCACGGUUGAUGCCCCUGCUAUUCUCCAGUUGGUCAUGGACCGGCUUAUGGACUCACAGCGCAAGCUCGACCAAAUCCAUUGAUGCCUCGGGAGCCAGCUCUCCUUUAAUUCGCUCUUUCCAAUCUCAGCUGCCAGAAUAAAGCAGCCAUACUGUAAGGGACACGGUGUAUAUUUAUACUAUUUCAGCCUGCUUUGGUAGUAUAUUUGUCUUGGACUGCAAUAUCUGAUCUCAAAUUGGACCAGAUUUCAUGGGCUGAAUGGGGUGGCAGCUUUUGCAUUUGGACCUAAAAUCAUUAUCCAUGGAUCUAUUUUAGAUAUAUAUAAUUUAAUUCUUUU